rnacentral:rRNA from 1 species
UACGGAGGAUUCAAGCGUUAUCCGGAUUUAUUGGGUUUAAAGGGUGCGUAGGCGGUUUGAUAAGUUAGAGGUGAAAUGUCGGGGCUCAACCCCGAAACUGCCUCUAAUACUGUUGGACUAGAGAAUAGUUGCGGUAGGCGGAAUGUAUGGUGUAGCGGUGAAAUGCUUAGAUAUAUGGAAGAACACCAGUGGCGAAGGCGGCUCUCUGGUCUGCAACUGACGCUGAGGCUCGAAAGCAUGGGUAGCGAACAGG